rnacentral:rRNA from 1 species
GACGAACGCUGGCGGCGUGCCUAAUACAUGCAAGUAGAACGCUGAAGGAGGAGCUUGCUCUUCUGGAUGAGUUGCGAACGGGUGAGUAACGCGUAGGUAACCUGCCUGGUAGCGGGGGAUAACUAUUGGAAACGAUAGCUAAUACCGCAUAACAGUAGAUGUUGCAUGACAUUUACUUAAAAGGUGCAAUUGCAUCACUACCAGAUGGACCUGCGUUGUAUUAGCUAGUUGGUGGGGUAACGGCUCACCAAGGCGACGAUACAUAGCCGACCUGAGAGGGUGAUCGGCCACACUGGGACUGAGACACGGCCCAGACUCCUACGGGAGGCAGCAGUAGGGAAUCUUCGGCAAUGGACGGAAGUCUGACCGAGCAACGCCGCGUGAGUGAAGAAGGUUUUCGGAUCGUAAAGCUCUGUUGUAAGAGGAGAACGAGUGUGAGAGUGGAAAGUUCACACUGUGACGGUAUCUUACCAGAAAGGGACGGCUAACUACGUG